rnacentral:rRNA from 1 species
UUGGAGGGCAAGUCUGGUGCCAGCAGCCGCGGUAAUUCCAGCUCCAAUAGCGUAUAUUAAAGUUGUUGCAGUUAAAAAGCUCGUAGUUGAAUUUCGGGAUCAGACUGUCGGUCGUGCCUCGGUACGCACUGGCAUUGUUGGUUCCUACCUUCUGAAGAACCGCGAUGUCAUUAAUUUGGUGUCGUGGGGAAUCAGGACUGUUACUUUGAAAAAAUUAGAGUGUUUAAAGCAGGCGCACGCUUGAAUACAUUAGCAUGGAAUAAUGAAAUAGGACGUUUGAUUCUAUUUUGUUGGUUUCUAGGAUCGACGUAAUGAUUAAUAGGGAUAGUUGGGGGCAUUAGUAUUCAAUUGUCAGAGGUGAAAUUCUUGGAUUUAUUGAAGACUAACUACUGCGAAAGCAUUUGCCAAGAAUGUUUUCAUUAAUCAAGAACGAAAGUUAGGGGAUCGAAGACGAUCAGAUACCGUCGUAGUCUUAACCAUAAACUAUGCCGACUAGGGAUCGGAUGAUGUUAAUUUUAUAAUGACUCAUUCGGCCCCUUACGGGAAACCAAAGUGUUUGGGUUC